UUUCUACUGUUGCUACUAUUACAGCGGCAACGACCAAACCUGCUACUACAGCAGGGAGCAAUGCACUGCAUCUCGCUGUAUCUCAGGCUGCUCUGGUAAUUCUCUCAGGGAUCCUCGCAGUCCUCCUGUUGUAAGGAUGCUGCCAAAACAUCAUUUGCUUUCUGAAAUUGGUCGAUGAGCACUGAACGCUUGAUGAACCCAACACUAAAGUAUAUGUCAUUCAGCAUAGCCGUGCAAUAUUGUGACUCUGAAGAAAGGUGCCGACAUUAUGGGGAAGAGGGCAAUACAUCCAUUAUUUAAUCUGUGUGUAUAUGUGAGAGAGGCUGUGUUUGAGUGUGUGUUUUGUGAGCAUUAGUGCUUGCAUUGUACUUACGUACUGCUACUUAAAAUCAGGACCCUUUACAGAGAGGACUGAUAAAAAAAAAAUAGUAUACUUUUUAAUUUAACUGUGCAAGUGUGAUGCCACCACGUGGCUGAAAUGAUCAAAGAUAGUUAUUUUUAAAUGUCUUAAUUUAUUUUGCGACUGUUGCCUCAGACCUGCAGUUGCCUGUAAGUUUUAAUUAAAGCCACAUGUAUAUUUUUAUUUGAAAAAAAAUAUGUAUAAUAAAAUGUUAAUGUAAACAGUGAAA